rnacentral:rRNA from 1 species
UACGUAGGGACCGAGCGUUGUCCGGAUUCAUUGGGCGUAAAGAGCUCGUAGGCGGCUGUUCAAGUCGAACGUGAAAACUCGGAGCUCAACUCCGAGCCUGCGUUCGAGACUGGAUGGCUAGAGUCUGGUAGGGGGAUCUGGAAUUCCUGGUGUAGCGGUGAAAUGCGCAGAUAUCAGGAGGAACACCGGUGGCGAAGGCGGGACUCUGGGCCGAUACUGACGCUGAGGAGCGAAAGCGUGGGGAGCAAACAGG